CCGCAAGGCUUAGCAUCAGCUUCCGCAUCUUCUCGGUGAGCGAUAGUUAUUAAAUCUCGCAUUUCAAGAAAUCAUAAGUCGUUUCCAAAUCAAAAUAAUAAAAUAUUAUUUUUUAGCUCACAAGGGCAUUUUCGUCAUUUUUCUUUCAAAAUACGAAAACCCACCAAAAACAUGGUGUAAAAGCUAAAUAUGUUCAUACAUACUUUAAAUCAGAUAACUGAAGUAUAAAAUUACUUUUACAGCGACACAUGGGCCCACAUCUAACCAAAAUGCAUCGAAAGCUAAAAACCUACAGCUUUUGUCGAUUCAAGUCCAAAUGAAGGUCUUUGUCAAAGUCAGCUAACUAUGGAAUUCCCCGAGCCUGAAAUGUGAGGAAAUGAGGGUGGUGAGAUUAUAAAAUCUCAGUGAGUAAACAGACACUAUAUAAACUAUCUAAAGGCGAGUAAAUGGAGACGAAUUAAAAUAUUCUUUCCCAAUAUAUGUUUCAUAACAUGAAUAUUCAGUUUACUCAAUUAAUCAACAUGGCUUAUAUAUCUCACAAAACUUGGCUCCUGCCAAAAAUCAUUCUCGGGGAUGCCUUGGCCUAGGCAUUUGACCGAGACCACCAAGGCUGUUAAAUGUCUUUACAUCCGAAAUUCUAGCCAUGCCUUGGCGUUGGCUNNNNNNNNNNNNNNNNNNNNNNNNNNNNNNNNNNNNNNNNNNNNNNNNNNNNNNNNNNNNNNNNNNNNNNNNNNNNNNNNNNNNNNNNNNNNNNNNNNNNNNNNNNNNNNNNNNNNNNNNNNNNNNNNNNNNNNNNNNNNNNNNNNNNNNNNNNNNNNNNNNNNNNNNNNNNNNNNNNNNNNNNNNNNNNNNNNNNNNNNNNNNNNNNNNNNNNNNNNNNNNNNNNNNNNNNNNNNNNNNNNNNNNNNNNNNNNNNNNNNNNNNNAAGCAGGCAGUCUCCAAUUACUCUAUUUUCAAAACCAGUAUUCAAUUUUUCAGAAAAUUUAUAAAAUCAUUUUAUAAAAUCACAAUUUCUCCUAAAACAUAGCAAUUUACCAUUUAAACCCAUUUUCUAUAAAAUCACACAAUUGUAUAAAACUACUCUAGAUAAUUAAGACGAUAAUAAGUUUACGCACAGUUCUAGGAGUCGAUGUAUUCCUAAUCCCAGUCUUCAAGCACAAUAUCUGUACUUUUACCAGUGUAAUUUACUCACCACCUAUCCAGAGUGUACAAUACAUAAUUCACCACAUCAAUGCUUGACCAUUAUAAAAUCAAUUCAGGCUCGGUGUAUAUGCAUGAUAUGAUAUGCAACUUAUCUGACUACCGCUUAAAUGCGGUGCUGACCUAAUUCAGCCUAUUACUCGAUUAAAUGACAAUUGUGUCCGAUUUGGCUCCAAAUUGCUCCAUUUCAUUUCUAAUAUUUCAAUUCACUAAAUACAAUUCCAAUAAUCUAAAAUUCAGCCUAACAACCCUCAAAAUUCUUCUUCAAAAUUUCGGCCAUUGUGGUGCACAAUCACUAAAAAUUUUUCCAUUCCAUUUUCUCACCAUAAAUCAUCAUUUCAUCAAAUUUUCAACCAAUUCACUUGAUCACAAAAUCAAUUCAUUACUUCUACACUUCACAUAAGGUUCGGCCAUUGAAGGUUCAUGGGGAAAAUGGAUUCUUUUCUUGUUGUUUGAUUUUUAAACAUGCUUAACUAACAAAAAAUACUAACAUAACUUAGAAUCAAAUCAAUCUAACAUCAUUCUCUCUCCAUACCCAUUUUGACCAGCCAUGAAUUCACCAUGAAAGCAUGUUUUUCAACCAUGAAAAUUAAGGGAAAAUGCAUGGUUAAGGUAAAUCACUAGCAAAAUCAAAGAAAUUUUAUCUUUGCUUGAUCAAAUCCUUGAAUUCCAACAGUUUCUCUUUGAUUUUUUCCACCUAGGGUUUGUUCUUCCUUGGUUUCUCUUCUCUUCUGGUUUGGCUGACCACUAUGGGAGAAAUGGGCUGAUUUUUACGCCUUUUUAUAGAGAAACAAUAAAAUAAUAAAAAGCAUGACACAUGGCAUUUCCUUAUUGGUUCAAAUUUUAAAUAUUUGACUUUUAAUUCUUUAAUUCUCCACUACACAUUUCUCAUGUUUAUCCAUUUCCAUAAUGAAUAAAAUCCCUUGGUCUUGACAUGUGUCGGGGGUGAAAAUUUACCGAUUUACCCCCGAGAUGGUAAAAAUACCAUUUCGCCCUUAUAUUCUAAAUUAUACCGAAAUUAAAAUUUUUCACUUCUAAACCUCAAAUCAUACUCCAAUAAGUCAAAUGGGGCCAAAAAAAUCUUUUCUAAAAAUUCUCAUUUUGUCCCCAGGUGGCAAAUGACCAUUUUGCCCUAAAAUAGUGAAAAUUUUGGUUUAACUCCAAAUUGAUCCUCGAACUCCGAAUUACCAUUUUGAAUCAUUCAUGGACUGUGAAACACUUAAUUUCACCUUAAAAUUCCUAUUUGAAAUAGUUCGAGGCUUAAUCGACUUAAUGGUACCAUUAGGGGCAAUAUCGUCUUUUAACGACUUCUCGAACUUCCUAAAUAUGCAAACAUUCUAUUGAACAUGUAAAUGACGUCAUAAUUAUUUUAUAGAACAAGGUUUGACAACACUACCCCCCUUAAAAUAAAAUUCUAUCUUCAAAAUUUCUCUUAUCAAAUUCAAAGGAAAUGUGGGGUAUUAUCUUUUUAUUCGAUGCUCAACUUCUCCUGUUAUCUCCUUUAUAGGGAAUCUUGAUUUGCUCCUCGUAUUUAUUUCCAACUCAACUUGAAUACUUCACUUAUAUCUAUUAUUACCCUUUAGAAUUUGAUCAACAAUAAUCCUCUCAAUCAUGAGUCUACGCAGCCUUUUGUCUAUAAUCGGUGCUGCAGUCACUAGCUACAAACAAGACUCUACAUCAACUUCACUAUUCCGCUGUUUACCACAAGAGUUGCUUCAUUUAAUCACUUUUCAUUCAAUUGAGUUAAUACAAAAAUUAUAAAUCCUCAUAGUAAUCCUUUAUAGUACUCAUUUUCUAUGCCACCAUCGUAAUCCUUUAUUCACAAAUUCGUUACUUAACAUUGAUGUCCUUUCUCAUUAAUCUCUCAUCCUCUUUAUUUCUUAAGAUUUGACUUUGAUCAAUACAUUAUUGAUCUUAAUACUACACAAGGUAAUUUAUUUCAAUGUAGCCGUUGGAAUUUACUUAAUUAAAACAAAUCUUUUACUUUUGGGGUUACUACCUUAGUCGUUCUCAAUGGCUUGACUCCUUUUUAAGUCUAUACCACAAUUAGCAAAGUAAAUUUUCUAUCACAGGUGCAUGAUCGGGAUACUGACCCCAACAUAUCUAUAUUAUCUAUGUGAUAUACCAUAGUUAUCCCUUAGGGCAUAUUUCACUACCAAUAUUCACAUAUCUUUACCAUGAUAAUUUCUUAAAUAAAUUAAAACUUGUAGGGGAAAACAUACUUUACAAUUUAUAUCUCCCUUUGUAAGCAUAUCCAAAAAUCCUCAUGUCUUAUGUCCCACCUUAGGACAGUCUUCCCAUAUGGUUCAAUAAAUCACAACUUCAUCACAAGCCUAAUGAUUCAUUAUUUAUAGUAUCCCACUAUUCUCAUAGUCAUAACCGAUUAUAUUUCUCAUCUUAAAAUUUUACGGUAUCACCUUCUAAUUCCCUCCAUACUCAAAUUUAUAAUCCUUGACUUAAUCCCGUUAACUGGUGAUCAAUUCAUAGUAUUGCAAGGUUUAAUCGUUAUUAAAUCUAAUAAUUGCUGGAACCAUUAAUGGCUUCCUAUUUCAACCUUCAGUACUUAUUUAAAAUAAUCGAUCUUGCCACUAAGAUAAUUAUUCAUCCUCAAUACUUAUAUUACUAAUCUACCUUUAUCAUAUUAAAAGAUUUUUAUACUCCUUCUGUCAUUUAAACAACUACUCCAUCAUCCGUUUAUAUUAUACAAGACAAAAGUCAACUCUUAAGCCUUUUAUACAGGGGAUUAUUAUCCUUCUUAUACUACAUCUGCCUAGGAUCACAGUAUUACAAGCAUCAACAAGGCACUAGACAUCUUUAGGAUCAUUAUCAUCUUGAUCCUUUUUCGAAUCCGUUUCAAGUUUUCUCUUUUUCUUCUCUUGCCAUUUACUUACAUUGCUCCCACAGCUUGGGGGAGAAUGUCUAAUGACAAUUACUUAAUCUCUUAGACACCUAAAAAUAAAUAGCUCCCUAUAUACAGACUCAUGCAUUCUAUUCGACUUAACUUAACUUAACGUGGGGCCAUGCAGUGUUAGUGUGGAUUUCUUAAAACAACUUUUUUUAAAAACCAAAAGCCCUAAUAUCUUUAAAACCAAAAGCUCUGAUAUUUAAAUCAUGCUCUGAUACCACUUUAAUUGUCACGACUCGGAACUCUCAUUGAGCCCGUGACAACCACCGCGAAGCCUCGACAAACAUUCUUUACCCCGACUGCCAAUUGAAACCUCGCAAGGCUCUCGUAUCAGCUUUCGCACUUCUCCAGUGAGCAAUAGUUAUCAAAUAUCGUAAUUCGAAGGAUUACGAGUCAUUUCCAAAUCAAAACAUAACAUUUUGUUUUCUAGCUCACAGGGGCAUUUUCAUCAUUUUUAGUUAAAAAUCUCAAAACUUGCUAAAAAUGUAGUAGGUAAGCAAAAAAUAUAUAUUUAGUGAUUUAAAAACAAAUUAAGUAUCUAAACGUUCAUUUGAAGUGAAAAUUUGACCAUUUGAAUAUAAUAAAAAUAGUCAAUGAAAUAAACUAUUUUCUUGUAAAAUAAUUUUUAUAAAGCUAUCAAUAAAUAAUUUUUAGAACGUAAAAGUUAAUUAUAUUCAUAUAUACUAUAAAGCAAAUAACAAAAGCAUAAAAUUACUUUUACAGCGACACGACCCGAAACUCCCAUCGGGCCCAUGACAACCGCCGCUACUUCCUGAUAGGCACUCAUUACCCAAAAUGCCGAUCGAAAUCUCGCAAGUCUUAGCAUCAGCUUCCGUAUCUCCCCGGUGAGCAAUAGUUAUUAAAUCUCGCAUUUCAAGAAAUCAUAAGUCAUUUUCAAAUUAAAAUAAUAAAAUAUUAUUUUCUGGCUCAUAAGGGUAUUUUUAUCAUUUUUCCUCGAAAAUAUGAAAACCUGCCAAAAACAUGGUGUAAAAGCUAAAUUUUCAUACAUACUUUAAAUCAGAUAACUGAAGUAUAAAAUUACUUUUACAGUGACACGUGGGCCCCCAACUAACCAAGAAGGUGUAGGGCUACGAACUCUUACUUUCUAGGAUGCAACUCCGAGAUUAAUUCUCAUCUUAAUCAACUAUCAACAAACUAUCCUAAGCCAUAUAAGCCAUAUAAUUUAAAACACAAGUAGGCAGUCUCCAAUUACUCUAUUUUCAAAACCAGUAUUCAGUUUUUCAAAAAAUUUAUAAAAUUAUUUUAUAAAAUCACAAUUUGUCAAACCCUAUUCUAUAAAAUAUUUAUGAUGUCAUUUACAUGCUCAAUAGAAUGGUUGCAUAUUUAGGAAGUUUGAAAAAUCGUUAAAAGACAAUAUUGCCUAUAAUAGUAUCAUUAAGUCGAUUAAGCCUCAUACUAGUUCAAAUAGAAAUUUUAAGGUAAAAUUGAGAGUUUCACGGUCUAGGGAUGACUCAAAAUGUCAAACCCUAUUCUAUAAAAUAAUUACGACGUCAUUUACGUGCUCAAUAGAAUGGUUACAUAUUUAGAAAAUUUGAGAAAUCGUUAAAAGACGAUAUUACCCCUAAUGGUAUCAUUAAGUCGAUUAAGCCUCAACUAGUUCAAAUAGGAAUUUUAAGGUGAAAUUAAGAGUUUCACAGCUCAAGGAUGACUCAAAAUGUUAAUUCGAAGUUCAAGGAUCAAUUUGGAGUCAAACCGAAAUUUUCACUAUCUAGGGGCACAAUGGUCAUUUGCCAUUUUGGGACAAAAUGGGAAUUUUUAGAAAAGAUAUUUUUGGUCCAUUUGACUUAUUGGAGUAUGAUUUGAGGUUUAGAAGUGAAAAAGUUUAAUUCUGGUGAUUUCUGGAGUGUAGGGGUAAAAUCGUAAUUUUUCCAAUCGCAGACAAAAUUUGAGAUUUUGAGAGAAUUUAGAUCACAUUUGACAAAUUGGAGAAUGGUAUGAGUAUAAGGGAUGAAAAAUAUGUCUAUGGGCAAUUUUUCAGUUUUUGGGGUAAAAAUGUAAUUUUUGACUUUUAUGAGGGUAAAAGUGUAAAUUUCAAAAAUUACUUCACCAAGACUUUGGAUAAGUUUGAGAAUUUUAUCUAAGUUAUGGAUAUUUGAAGGAAUAAUGUGUGGUGGAGAUUUAAAGCUUAAAAGAUAAGAAUUUUAAAAAAUAGACCAAUAAUGUAGUGACAUGUGGCAAGUUUAGAUUAUUAAAUUAUUUAACUAUAAAAAUCAGCCCACACCACCAUUUUCUCUUCAUUUUGGCAGGCCAUAGCAAGGAAACAAAGGGGAAAAGAAAAACAAAAACCUAGGUGGAGAAAUUCAAGGGAAAAUUGGUGAAAAUUCAAGGAAACAAGUGACAAAAGGUAAAAUUUCUUGAUUUUGACUUGUGAUCUGCCUUUCCCAUGCUUUUCUCCUUAUUUUUCAUGGUUAGAUUUCAUGUUUUCAUGGUGAAUUCAUGGCUUCCCAAAUGGGUAUGGAGAGAGAAUGAAGUUAGAUUAAUUUGAUUUUAAGUUAUGUUAGUGUUUUAAGUUAGUUUAGCAUAUUUAGAAACAAAACAACAAGAAAAUAAUUUAUUUUCCUCCAUUACCAUUAUUGGCUGAAUUUUUUAGGGGAAUAUUGGCUGCUGAUCUUGAUGUUUAUUUGAGGAAUAAUGAUGAAUAAUGAUGAAUUAUGAGCCUAGAAAAAUAAUGGAAAUUUUCGGAGCAAAAAUAUGAAUUUUUACCCACUAGGGGUAUUUUCGUAAUUUGCUACCAAGACUGAUAAUUUGCACCACACUGAGGAACAUUAAGUCAAUUUGGGUGCAAUUGAGGUAUAGAAACUGAAAAAAAAUUAAUUUGGGAUUAAAUUAGACGCGUUAGUAAUUUAAUUGGGUAAUAGGUCGAAUUAGGUCAACACCGCAUUUAAGCGGUAGUCGGAUAAGUUGCAUGUCAUAUCAUGCAUAUACACAGAGCCUGAAUUGAUUUUAUAAUGGUCAAGCAUUAAUGUUGUGAAUUAUGUAUUGUACAUUGUGGAUAGGUGGUGAGCAAAUUACACUGGCAAAAGUAUAGAGAUUGUGCUUAAAAAUUGGGGUUAGGAGUAUAUCGACUCCUAAAACUGUGAGUGGACAAUUUAUCGUCUUAAAUAUUUUGAGUAAUUAUACUUGUUUGAUGCUUUUAUUGAAUGGUGAGCUUAUAUUAUAAAAUAUUAUGUUUUCUAAUUAAAAUGUUUUUUAAUAAAAAUGAGAUUUAUACUGGUUUUGAAAUCAAAUAUUGUUUUGGAAAAAUUGAGUAUAUGGAGACUGUGUUGAAAUUUAUGAUUUUAUAUGUUAUUGAAAUUGGGGCUUAUGACACUAUGGUAGCAUGAUGGCUAAAUUUUUGGGGUUGGCAUGAAAUAUAUGAACAGUUUUGGAUUGGUCUCAGUAGAUUGAAUUAAAUUUUAUUCGCCAUAUUAUGCUACUGAAAAUUUUAUGGGUCUGGUGGUAUAUUAAACUGUCACUACAGUGGCGGGGGUUUUCGUGGACUGCCUAUGAGAGGGGCACGGUAACCCAAUUAUAUAAUUACCUCUCGGGGGAAGAUGUUGGAUGAAGUAUCUCCUGAGGUAAGAUUUGAGUGCGCCUCACGUUCGGACCACCACGUGAGAGUGAAACUCAGCCAACGCCAAGGAACGGCUGUGUGUCAGAUGCGAAAACAUGUUUAUGGGUAUGAGACAUUUAACAGCCUUGGCGGUCUCAAUGGGAUAUCUUGACGAAGGUACCCGCGAAAAUGAUAUUGACAGGGGCCAAGUUUAAGAAACUCAUAAGCUAGGGAAAUUUUGAUGAAAAGAAAUUGUUUGGUAUAGAUUGAAACGAAUUUUGUGUUAUGAACAUUAUUGAGAUAUAACGUUUUUAUACUGUCUCCAUCUACUCGGCUUUAGAUGCAUUUGAUGGUAAUUGUUUACUCACUGGGAUUAUGUAAUCAUAAUCUCACCCCUCUUCCUAUCCAUUUUUCAAGCUUAGGACAAUUUGUUGAUAGUUGAUUAAGACGAGAAUUAAUCUCGGAGUUGCAUCCUAGAAAGUAAGGGUUCGUAGCCCUACAUCUUCUUAGUCAGUUAGGGGCCCACGUGUCACUAUAAAAGUAAUUUUAUUUUUCAGUUAUUUGAUUUAAAGUAUGUAUGAAUAUAUUUAGCUUUUACACAAUGUUUUUGCCGAGUUUCGAUAUUUUCGAAGAAAAAUAACGAAAAUGCCCCUGUGAGCCAGAAAGUAAUAUUUUAUUGUUUUGAUUUGGAAAUGACUUAUGAUUUUUUUGAAAUGUGAGAUUUAAUAACUGUCGCUCACUAGGGAGAUGCGAAAGCUGAUGCUAAGCCUUGCGGGGUUUCGAUCGGCAUUCGAGGUAAUGAGUGCCUAUCGGGAAGUCGUGGCGGUUGUCACGGGCUCAAUAGGAGUUCCAGGUCGUGACACAAAAUGGUAAUUCGGAGUUCGAGGAUCAAUUUGAAGUCAAACCAAAAUUUUCACUAUCUAGGGGCAAAAUGGUCAUUUGCCACCUAGGGACAAAAUGAGAAUUUUAAAAAAGAUUUUUUUGGCCCCAUUUGACUUAUUGGAGUAUGAUUUGAGGUUUAGAAGUGAAAAAUUUUAAUUCCCGUAUAAUUUGGAGUAUAGGGGCAAAAUGAUAAUUUUGCCACCCUAUGGGCAAAAUAGUAAUUUUCCACCACCAGGACAUUUGUCCAGCACAUGGUCUUCCCUUAUCUUCAUUUUGACCUUUGACUAAUCAUGUGGUGGAGAUAAAGGUUUAAAAUUUUUAAAGUUUUAAAAAUGGACCAAUGGAAACAUGCCACGUGUCAGCAAGAAUAUUUUAUUAUUUUCUAUAAAAAUCAGCCCAUAUUUAUCCCAUUCUUCUUCUCCAUAUUCGGCCAAGACAAAAGGAAAGAAAGGAAAAACAAGAACAAAACCUAGGUGGAGGAUUUCAAGAGAAAAAGUGUGGAAAAUCAAGGAAAACAAGUGGAAAAAGGUAGGAUUUUUCAAUUUAAACUUGAAAUCUAUUUUCCUUAAGCAUUUCUCCUUAUUUUUCAUGGUUAAAUUACAUAUUUUCAUGAUGAAUUCAUGGCUGGUCAAAAUAAGUAUGGAGAGAGAAAGAUGUUAGAUUGAUUUGAUUCUAAGUUAUGUUAAUGUUUUUAGUUAGUUUAGCAUAUUUAGAAACAAAACAACAAGAAAAUAAUCCAUUUUCCCUAUGAACCUUCAAUGGCCGAACCCUAUGUGAAGUGUAGAAGUAAUGAAUUGAUUUUGUGAUCAAGUGAAUUGGUUGAAAAAUUGAUGAAAUGAUGAUUUAUGGUGAGAAAAUGGAAUGGGAAAAUUUUUAGUGAUAGUGCACCACAAUGGCCGAAAUUUUCAAGAAGAAUUGUGAGGGUUGUUAGGCUGAAUUUUAGAUUAUUGGAAUUGUAUUUAGUGAAUUGAAAUAUUAGAAAUGAAAUGGAGCAAUUUGGAGCCAAAUCGNNNNNNNNNNNNNNNNNNNNGAAUUUUAAAUUAUUGGAAUUGUAUUUAGUGAAUUGAAAUAUUAGAAAUGAAAUGGAGCAAUUUGGAGCCAAAUCGGACAUAAUUAUCACUUAAUCGGGUAAUAGGCCAAAUUAGGUCAGCGCCGCAUUUAAGCGGUAGUCGUAUAAGUUGCAUAUUAUAUCAUGCAUAUACAUCGAGCUUGAAUUGAUUUUAUAAUGGUCAAGCAUUGAUGUGGUGAAUUAUGUAUUGUACAUUGUGGAUAAGUGGUGAGUAAAUUGCAUUGGUAAAAGCACAAAGAUUGUGCUUGAAGACUGGGAUUAGGAGUACAUCGACUCUGAGAACUGUGAGUAAACUUAUUAUCAUCUUAAUUAUCUAAAGUAGUUUUAUACAAUUGUGUGAUUUUAUAGAAAAUGGGUUUAAAUGGUAAAUUGCUAUGUUUUAGGAGAAAUUGUGAUUUUAUAAAAUGAUUUUAUAAAUUUUCUGGAAAAUUGAAUACUGGUUUUGAAAAUAGAGUAAUUGGAGACUACCUGCUUGUGUUAUAAUUUGUGUUUUAAAUUAUAUGGCUUAUAGUAAUAUGUGAGCAUGAAUGGCAAAGUCGGUAUUUGUAUCAAAAUUAUAUAUACUAUGUAUUCAGCCUUGAGAGGCUAGAUUGUGAUAAAUUGCCAUGUCAUGAAGAAAAAGACUUUAUAAAUCAAGUGGUAGAUAAAAUAAUCCAUAAUCCUUGCAGUGGAGGUUUUGUGGACCAGCCGAAGAGAGGGGGCACAAAAUCAGAUAUACCUUACCUCGAUCAGAGAGCCGUGUGGAGGGUUUCUCUAGAGGUAAAGAUUUGAGUGCACUUCACGUGGACCACUGCGUGAGAGUGAGACUCAGCCAACGCUAAGGCAUGGCUAGAAUUUCGGAUGUGAAGACAUUUAACCGCCUUAGUGGUCUCGGUCAGAUGCUUAAGCCAAGGCAUCCCUGGGAAUGAUUUUUGGCAGGAGCCAAGUUUUGUGAGAUAUAUAAGCCAUGUUGAUUAAUUGAGUAAACUGAAUAUCCAUGUUAUGAAACAUAUAUUGGAAAAGAAUAGUUUAAUUCGUCUCCAUUUACUCGCCUUUAAAUAGUUUAGAUGGUGUUUGUUUACUCACUGAGAUUAUGUAAUCUCACCCCUCUUCCUAUCCAAUUUUCAAGUUCAGGAUAGUUUGUUGAUAGUUGAUUAAGACGAGAAUUAAUCUCGGAGUUGCAUCCUUAGAAAGUAAGAGUUCGUAGCCCUACACCUUCUUGGUCAAUUGGGGGCCCACAUGUCACUGUAAAAGUAAUUUUAUGCUUUGGUUAUUUGCUUAUUAGUAUAUAUGAAUAUAAUUAACUUUUACGCUAUAAGAAUUAUUUACUGAUAGCUUUAUAAAAAAUUAUUUUACAAGAAAAUAGUUUAUUUUAUUAAAUAUCUUUAUUAUAUUCAAAUGGUCAAAUUUUCACUUAAAAUGAACGUUUUAGAUACUUGAUUUGUUUUUAAAUCACUAAACAUAUAUUUUCUGCUUACCUACUACAUUUUUAGCAAGUUUUGAGAUUUUCGACGAAAAAUGAAGAAAAUGCCCUUGUGAGCCAGAAAACAAAAUGUUAUGAUCUGAUUUGAAAAUAACUCGUAGUCCUUCGAAUUACGAUAUUUGAUAACUAUUGUUCACCGGGGAAGUACAAAAGCUAAUACGAGAGCCUUGCGAGGUUUCGAUCGGCAUUCGGGGUGAAGAAUGUUUGUCGAGGCUUCGCGACGAUUAUCACGGGCUCGAUGAGAGUUUCGGGUCAUGACACAAUUUCUCCUAAAACAUAGCAAUUUACCAUUUAAACCCAUUUUCUAUAAAAUCACACAAUUGUAUAAAACUACUCUAGAUAAUUAAGACGAUAAUAAGUUUACUCACAGUUCUAGGAGUCGAUGUACUCCUAAUCCUAGUCUCCAAGCACAAUUUCUGUACUUUUACCA
rnacentral:lncRNA from 1 species